UGUACAGAGGGAAGCAAGACCGCGAGGUGGAGCAAAUCCCAGAAAGCCAUCCGUAGUCCGGAUCGGAGUCUGCAACUCGACUCCGUGAAGUCGGAAUCGCUAGUAAUCGCGAAUCAGCAUGUCGCGGUGAAUACGUUCCCGGGCCUUGUACACACCGCCCGUCACACCAUGGGAGUUUGUUGCACCAGAAGCAGGUAGUCUAACCGAAAGGAGGGCGCUUGCCACGGUGUGGCCGAUGACUGGGGUGAAGUCGUAACAAGGUAGCCGUAGGGGAACCUGCGGCUGGAUCACCUCCUUU
rnacentral:rRNA from 1 species